AAUUCCUGUGUACUUUUCCCUCAGAAUAAAGGAAUAAAGAAGAACAAGAAAAGUUGGAGGAAUAAUCAAAACAGCAAAAAUGGCAGCAGUUCCAAAUGAGUAUACAGAGCCCAGCAUACAUUACAUCGGAACAUCACAUGAAUCAAAAGAAACAUAUUCUGACGAUUAUGCUACUAUACCAAUACGGCAAGACACUGACGCGGAGUACCAAACUCUUGUAAGUCAUUAUGAUGAACAUGAUAUCAUUG